GAUGAACGCUGGCGGCGCGCCUAACACAUGCAAGUCGAACGAUUAAAGCACCUUCGGGUGUGUAUAAAGUGGCGAACGGCUGAGUAACACGUGGGCAACCUGCCCCUCUCAUUGGGAUAGCCACGGGAAACCGUGGAUAAUACCGAAUACUUCGAGUCUCCCGCAUGGAAGACUCGAGAAAGCUCCGGCGGAGAGGGAUGGGCCCGCGGCCUGUUAGCUUGUUGGUGGGGUAACGGCCUACCAAGGCAAUGAUGGGUAGCUGGGUUGAGAGACCGACCAGCCAGAUUGGGACUGAGACACGGCCCAGACUCCUACGGGAGGCAGCAGUGGGGAAUAUUGGACAAUAGGGGGAACCCUGAUCCAGCAACGCCGCGUGGAGGAUGAAGGUCUUCGGAUUGUAAACUCCUGUUAGGGGGACGAAGGAUGCCGGCGAACAGUCGGCAAACUUGACGGUACCCCCAGAGGAAGCCCCGGCUAACUCUGUGCCAGCAGCCGCGGUAAGGAUGAGACA
rnacentral:rRNA from 1 species